UAAUAAUAAAAUUCUUCCCGGCUGAUCCAACAUACCCGGCUGCCGGUGCUCACUGGAUGUUGGAUCCGCCACUGUGCAUGUCUCGAAAUAUUUAUGAUCGUUUGUUUCACACUGGCAGAAUGCAUGUGUCUACUCUCCAAAUAUAUUAAAUAUUAGCUUGAUUAUUCAAUCUAAACAUACAUAUAAAUUUAGAAGCUAUUACUUGAAGUAUUGAAGUAUAAAGAAUAUUGUUUUUUAAGUCAAAAAUAAAUGAACAAGAUAUUUUGUGGGGGAUGAUAAUGGUUAAUUAGAGAAAAAUUGGCAUAAUUAUUUGAUUUCUUUUUCCUUCUGAUCUGGGAUAAAUAUUUUAGAAUAACGUUUUAUAUAUUAUGGAGUAGUUAUAUAUCAAAGGAGGAAUACUAGCUUAGUGGAAACAGGGUUACUUAGUUAUCACAAAGUCUCAAGUAUGAGGCAUUUGGAUACUUUAUAAACGGAUUGAGAAAAUAUUCCACUUUUCUCAUGAAAACGCCCAAUUUGACCUGUGCCAGCAAUUUUUGACCUGUUUGAAUAAGCAACCAAACUGGCUUUACGUACAAAUGGUUUCCGGCCUCAGCCAGUCCAAUUUUCAGAACUACAGUAUUACCAGUUAAAGUUGCUAUAAUUGGAAUUGCAAUGCUAACUUACUGCCAUAACUUACUUAGUCUUAAUUCUGUACUGCACUUUGCUACAAUACUUCAAGAACCGUUACCUACUUUUUGCUGCACUUGGGCAGCAAUAUUUCGUUCUAGCCCAUUUUCCAGAUGUCCCAAGGCGUGUGACACCCUUUGCUUAUAUCUUGAGAUGCAUAUAUGGUCACAAUGUCCCUCGCAAAUUUUUGAAAGACCCGUAGCAUGCUUUAGUCUGGGGGAAUGCUCUAGUGUUUUGUGGGUGAGUUUGUGAGGAGCGAAGUUCUGUGAAAUUGGAUGCAUCAAAAUAUAAAAUUACCAAACUGCCAGAAUUUCCUGAUUAGUGUAAAGAUCUAGAGACUAUUUCACAUAGACUGUUCAGGUUUGCAUGUACUAUUGUAAAUAUAUUAGGAUGUUUUACUAAUAACAAUGUUUGGUAUUUCUUGAGAUCUUUCAUGGGUGUUUUGUGCGCAACUUAUGUAUUCUCAAUUGAUACAUCCAAGAAAGUUCAUAAAAUUUUGCCUGUCUACAACUUCAUCAAGAUUUUGGAUGUAACUGACAACCGUAUUUGCUAUAUACACACAGUUUAUUAUUUGUAUAUUGAGCAAAAUGUAAAUAUUUAUAUCUUUUAGAUCAAGCUCUAUGACCAUCGUCUGACGCAAAGAGGGCCAAUCCAAUCUUAUGAUGGCAAUGUAAAUUCUCAUUCUCGCUUGGAACUUGGAGUUGACCCAUCAGAGAAAUUUGUCCUAUCAGGAGGAGAGGACUGCUACCUAAGGUUAUGGAAUAUUCCAUCUGGUAAAAUGCUCUUUGAGGAUAGAUUCAUGGAUUCCGUCCCCUCAGCUGUGUGCUGGCCAAGAAUUGAUGGAGAAGAAAAAGGAAUGCAAAAUUACAGAUAUUCCGGGAAGGACCAUUCUUCGGGUGCAUGGCUUGGUUCGUAUGACGGGAUAUUUUACUCGAGCUGGUUGUAAUUAGUGUGUACAUUAGUGUGUUGGGUAGUGGAAUUCAAGAUAUUGAGGCUUGUUAUUUGAGCUAAGCAGAUUUAUGCAAGCCUGAUGAUCUUCUUGGUCUUUCUUGUCAACAGUCAAGAUGUGUAGGAUUUUAGGUCAACUUGAAUUGCACCAAGGGUUGAGUUCUGAAGAUCACUAUAAGAAAACUUGUAUAAGAACAUAAAAUGACUUUUCCUUGAUAAAGGAGUCUCUGUAAUUAUAUUAAUUUUGGCACAAUUAUAUUAAUUAAAAUACAUUUUAUAACAA